UACGAAGGGGGCUAGCGUUGCUCGGAAUGACUGGGCGUAAAGGGCGCGUAGGCGGACGGCUUUGUCGGGCGUGAAAUUCCAGGGCUUAACCUUGGGGCUGCGUUCGAGACGGGUUGUCUAGAGUUUGGAAGAGGGUCGUGGAAUUCCGCGUGUAGCAGUGAAAUGCGUAGAGAUGCGGAGGAACACCGAUGGCGAAGGCGGUCUCCUGGGGCACUCUUGACGCUGAGGCGCGAAAGCUGGGGGAGCGAACGGG
rnacentral:rRNA from 1 species